rnacentral:rRNA from 1 species
GACGAGGGGUCCAAGCGUUGUUCGGAAUCAUUGGGCGUAAAGCGGGUGUAGGCGGCUCUAUAAGUCAGGAGUGAAAGCCCCAAGCUUAACUUGGGAAGUGCUUUUGAUACUGCAGAGCUUGAAUGUGGGAGAGGGUAGUGGAAUUCCAGGUGUAGUGGUGAAAUACGUAGAUAUCAGGAAGAACACCCGUGGCGAAAGCGGCUCUCUGGAACGGUACUGACGCUGAGACGCGAAAGCGUGGGGAGCGAACAGG